CCUACGGGAGCAGCAGUGGGGAAUAUUGGACAAUGGGGGGAACCCUGAUCCAGCCAUGCCGCGUGUGUGAAGAAGGCCUUUUGGUUGUAAAGCACUUUAAGCGAGGAGGAGGCUACUCUAGUUAAUACCUAGAGAUAGUGGACGUUACUCGCAGAAUAAGCACCGGCUAACUCUGUGCCAGCAGCCGCGGUAAUACAGAGGGUGCGAGCGUUAAUCGGAUUUACUGGGCGUAAAGCGUGCGUAGGUGGCCAAUUAAGUCAAAUGUGAAAUCCCCGAGCUUAACUUGGGAAUUGCAUUCGAUACUGGUUGGCUAGAGUAUGGGAGAGGAUGGUAGAAUUCCAGGUGUAGCGGUGAAAUGCGUAGAGAUCUGGAGGAAUACCGAUGGCGAAGGCAGCCAUCUGGCCUAAUACUGACACUGAGGUACGAAAGCAUGGGGAGCAAACAGGAUUAGAUACCCUGGUAGUCCAUGCCGUAAACGAUGUCUACUAGCCGUUGGGGUCUUUGAGACUUUAGUGGCGCAGCUAACGCGAUAAGUAGAACCGCCUGGGGAGUUACGGUCGCAAGACUUAAAACUUCAAAGGAUUGACGG
rnacentral:rRNA from 1 species